rnacentral:lncRNA from 1 species
CACGCCUGUAGUCCUGUCCUGGCACUUUGGGAGGCCAAGGUGGACGGAUCACGAGAUCAGGAGAUCGAGACCACCCUGGCCAACAUGGUGAAACCCCGUCUCUACUAAAAAUGCAAAAAAAAAUUAACCGGGCACGGUGGCGCACGCCUAUUGUAAUCCCAGCUACUCAGGAGACUGAGGAAGGAGAAUCGCUUUAACCUGGGAGGUAGAGGUUGCAGGGAGCUGAGAUUGUGCCAUUGCACUCCAGCCUGGGUGACAGAGCAAGAUUCCAUCUCAAAAAACAAACAAAAAUUAGCUGAGUGCGGUGGCGGGUGCCUGUAAUUCCAGCUACUCAGGGAGCUAAGGCAGCAGAAUCACUUGAAUCCAGGAGACAGAGGUUGCAGUGAGCCGAGAUUGUAACACUGCACUCCAGCCUGAGUGACAGAGUGAGAAUAAACAAACAAACAAACAAACUGAGAAGGGGAACCCAAAGCUAAAGGUCAAAGACAGUGGCAAGGGGUCUGACUCCAGAAACCCGGAGUCAGAGCUGCUCUGUCAGACGUGCUCAGGAACCCAGCUAUUAUGAGAAAUACCACUGCGAUGAGUCUUCACAUACAAGUGUGUAUGUGGACACAUAUUUUCAUUUCUUGGGGAUAUGCCUCAGAGUGGACUUGCUGGGACCUAUGGACGCUCUGUGUUCAGCAUUUUGAAGCAUUGCCCGACCGUUUUCUAAAGCAGGUGCACCAUUUGACGGUCCCACCAGCAGCAUGAGAGAGUUCCAGUGUCUCCACAUCCUCGUCAACACUCACUACCUGACUUUUUGGGUCUAGCUCUCCAGGCCAGGAAGCCGAACCAAAUCCACCUCCCUCAGGUGUGCCCGCGGGACCUGUGUGUGUGCAAGUUUCUAUCUUCCAGAAGGUUCCAGUGUCUGCCAUGGCUCUUGGCCUGCCAGGAAGUAUCCUUCUUACUACUUGUGAGGCUGAGGCUUUGUGUGCCAGAGUACAGGUGCCCGGCCAGUAUGGGUCUGAGGGUUGUGUGGGCAUUGGUUCAGCACACAAGCCACAACCCUUGUUCCUUAAAGGUGGGCGUGUUGUGGAAGCACAGGAAAGUUAUUCUCAAAUAUGACACCCAUGUAAGGCCUGGGCUCCACUAUUAAUUUGUCUGAUUAUAUCCUGGUGACAAGGAGGACAAAUUUCUACUGCAACAAUGCAAAUUACUACGUUUUUAUUAAAAGUAAAUGUCAGUAAAACUAUUUUUCCUGAAUUCUGAAGUGAGAAAAACACCAUUUAAAGAACGUUUUAAUGUUUGUGAAAGGAUAGUCUCCUAAAGUAGAUUGUUGCAGAUACCGGGUAAAAAUAAAAAUUAAAUAAAUUAAAGGUGAGAUAGAUCAAAGAAGAAGGGUUUUGUCUUAUUCCUGCCAGAAACAGAAUAUCAGAAACAACAUGAGCAUCCUCCUCCUUGCCUUUUCUUGGGCUGUGCUUUCAGCCUGCAGAUAUAACCAUUCUGGAGAGCAGUGAUGCCCCCAGAACCGCAUUUUUGGCUGGUGCAAAAUGGGGGGCAGUGGUUGUGUCUGGGGCCAAGUUUCUGUCCUGUAUAGCCUAGAGAUGGUUAUGUAGCGGGGGACUGAGCUACUAAGUGAAGGCAUAGAUAGUUAUGUAGAAACAGAGGAGGGUAGAAUCAACUCCAUGCUAGAUUGUAACUGGAGGUACAGGUAUCAGUAUGAACUCAAGGUUUGCUAAGAGGUAUCAGAAAAGAUAUGGGUGUGUGUGUGUGUGUGUGUGUGUGUGUGUGUGUGUGUGUGUGUGUGUUUGUACAUACUUAUUUCCUAGCUCUGUCUGCUGAGUGUAAAUGGAAUCAUAUUCUGUAAUCUUUUGAGAUUUCUUUCUUCCAUUUAAAAUUAUGUGUUUGAGAUUUGGCCGUGUUGGUGGUGGAAUUCAUUCAUUUCUGUUGCUGUGUGCUAUUCCAUUGCGUGGAUACACCUCACUUUGUCCAUUUUACCGUCCUUUGAUAUUUAAGAUUUCUCCCAGUAUUUGCUAUUAAAAACAGCGUUAAAAUAAAAAAAAAAAAACACCAAAAACAGUGUUGCUCUGAACAUUCAUGCACAUGCUUCCUGAUGAACAAGUUUCUUUUUUUCUUUUCUUUUUUUUUUUUUUUUUUUAGAUGGAGUCUUGCUCUGUUGCCCAGGCUGGAGUGCAGUGGCGCAAUCUCUGCUCACUGCAAACUCUGCCUCCUGGGUUCACACCAUUCUCCUGCCUCAGCCUCCUGGCUAAUUUUUUGUAUUUUUAGUAGAGAUGGGGUUUCACCGUGUUAGCCAGGAUGGUCUCAAUCUCCUGACCUCAUGAUCUGCCUGCCUCAGCCUCCCAAACUGCUGGGAUUACAGGCGUGAGCCACGGCGCCCGGCCCUGAUGAACAGGUUUCUUAGGCACACACCCAGGCACGGAAUGCACCUAGGAAUACAAAUUGACUUAACCCUACAGCCGGGAAUGGGUAUGCACACUGGGGGAGCUUGCAUCUUCUCAAAGUGGCCACAACAACUUCUCCCAUACAGCAUGCUUCUCUUAAAAUGUGAUGAUAACACAUGUCCCAAGAGGUGGGGUCUGUAUUCUCCCUAACUCUUGAAUCUGGACAGGCUUGUCCCUAUGGCAGAAGUGAUGCGUGUGACUUCAGAAGCUAGGAUGUGAAAAGUGAUACAGGUCCCACCUGCUUCUCUUGAGACCCUUGCUCCUGCAGCAUGGCUACUAUUCCAUGAGGAUGUUCCCAAGGCCCUCAGCCCAGAGCCUGGAUCAAGGUCCCAGCCACGUGAGUGCACCAUCUUGGAAGUGGCUCCUCCAGCCCCUAGUGGAGGUGCCCCAGAUAAGGAUGCAGGAAGUAGUCUAGUUGUACCUGCUGAAUCCUGCCCAAAUAGCAGAUGUGUGAACAAAAGGAAUGACUGCUGUUUUGAGCUACAAAGUUUUGGGGGUGGUUUGUUUUGCAGCAAGAGGUAACUGAUAAACAUGUCCACUUUCACUGGGUAACGCCUUAUGACCAAGAUAUUUACCAAAUAAUUGUCCCACUCGACAUUCUGGCCAGCAGGGUAUUGCUCUGCCAUCUUGCCAUCGCUGAGUAUUGCCACAUAUGAACGCUGGUGCCUAUUUGGUGUGUAUUUUGUUUGCAUUUCCAAAUUUACUAGUAAGAUGAUUGGCCUUUCCAUGUUCUCUGCAAGAAGCCUGAUUAUGACAUGGGUUUCUUUGUUGAUUUGGGUUUUGUGCAUCAUUUUGUUGGCUUGUUUGUCUCUUUCUAAUGGAUCUGAAGGGGUUCUCUAUAUAUUCUAAAUACUAAUCAUCUGCAAGGUGUACAUAUCUUUUAGUUUUUCAUUCUUCAGUCUCUUUAUGGUGCCUUUUGAGGAACAAACAUAUGAUAAUUUCCAUCCUUUCAUUUACGAAAUGGAGUCUUGCUCUGUCACUCAGGCUGGAGUGCAGUGGGGCAAUCUUGCCUCACUGCAACCUCAGCCUCCUGGGUUCAAGUGAUUCUCCUGCCUCAGCCUCCUGAGUAGCUGGGAUUACAGGCACGUGCCCCCAUGCCUGGCUAAUUUUUCUAUUUUUAGUAGAGAUGGGGUUUCACUAUGUUGGUCAGGUCUUGAACUCCUGACCUCAG